CCCUUAGAUGUCCGGGGCUGCACGCGCGCUACACUGAAGGAAUCAGCGUGCUAAAACCAUUGUCGAAAGGCAUUGGUAAACCCAUUAAAAUCCUACGUGAUUGGGAUCGGGAAUUGCAAUUAUUUCCCUUGAACGAGGAAUUCCCAGUAAGUGUGGGUCAUAAGCUCGCGUUGAUUACGUCCCUGCCCUUUGUACACACCGCCCGUCGCUGCCCGGGAUUGAGCCGUUUCGAGAAAAGCGGGGACUGCUGCUGUCGGGGCUUUCGGGCCUUGGCUUCGGUGGAAACCGCUUUAAUCGCAGUGGCUUGAACCGGGCAAAAGUCGUAACA
rnacentral:rRNA from 1 species